rnacentral:tRNA from 1 species
AUUUAUAUAGUUUAAAUAAAAACAUUACAUUUUCAUUGUAAAAAUAAAUUUUUUUAUUUUAUAAAUU